UUCAACUUUUAUGCUACAAAAUUCCCAUCCCUAGUUAUUUUUUAAUCGAGGUUGAGAAAAUGAGCGAAUAUCAUAGAGGGUAAUGACUCCUCACCGGGCUUCCUAAGAGCUUUGCACGUCAAGGGCUCUGUGGGCUUAUUAAAGUCAUCAAAAAAUCUUUUUU
rnacentral:lncRNA from 1 species